CUACGGGUCGCUGCAGUCGAGAAUAUUCCACAAUGGGCGAAAGCCUGAUGGAGCAACGCCGCGUGCGGGAAGAAGGCCCUUGGGUUGUAAACCGCUUUUCUAAAGGAAGAAUUUUUUGACGGUACUUUAGGAAUAAGAGGUUGCUAACUCUGUGCCAGCAGCAGCGGUAAUACAGAGACCUCAAGCGUUAUCCGGAUUUAUUGGGCGUAAAGAGCAUGUAGGCGGAUAUAUUAGUCAGAUGUCAAAUCUUCGAGCUCAACUCGAAAACUGCAUUUGAAACGGUAUAUCUUGAGGAAGGAGAGAUCGAUGGAACGUAUGGUGUAGUAGUGAAAUGCGUUGAUAUCAUACGGAACACCAAAGGCGAAGGCAUUCGAUUGGCACUUUUCUGACGCUGAGAUGCGAAAGCGUGGGUAGCGAAUGGGAUUAGAUACCCGAGUAGUC
rnacentral:rRNA from 1 species